AUUCAUUAAGUUUAAAAAUAAAUAUUUUACCUUCAUUAAAAAGAUAGGGAUACCCCUAAUGAAUU
rnacentral:tRNA from 1 species